GAUGAAGAACGUAGCGAAAUGCGAUAAGUAAUGUGAAUUGCAGAAUUCAGUGAAUCAUCGAAUCUUUGAACGCACAUUGCGCCCGCCAGUAUUCUGGCGGGCAUGCCUGUUCGAGCGUCAUUACAACCCUCAGGCCCCCGGGCCUGGCGUUGGGGAUCGGCGGAAGCCCCCUGCGGGCACAACGCCGUCCCCCAAAUACAGUGGCGGUCCCGCCGCAGCUUCCAUUGCGUAGUAGCUAACACCUCGCAACUGGAGAGCGGCGCGGCCACGCCGUAAAACACCCAAGUUCUGAAUGUUGACCUCGAAUCAGGUAGGAAUACCCGCUGAACUUAAGCAUAUCAAUAAGCGGAGGA
rnacentral:misc_RNA from 1 species